rnacentral:lncRNA from 1 species
GGUGGCUUGGAGUUCUUCUUUGUCAUCUAGCGGAAGGUAGGGGGUCUUCAACGGAGCGGGUUUGAUAGGAUCAUGAUGUGGGUAUGGCAUUUUCAACUGUAUAGCUCUGGCUCUGAUCCACUGGAGGUACGACUCAUAGGAGGUACAAUCUUUCUUACCCAAUUCAAGUCUCCCUUUGCCGACAAACACGAUGCCAAGCUCUUAC